AUUGAACGCUGGCGGCAUGCCUUACACAUGCAAGUCGAACGGCAGCACGGGUGCUUGCACCUGGUGGCGAGUGGCGACCGGGUGAGUAAUACAUCGGAACAUGUCCUGUAGUGGGGGCUAGCCCUGCGAAAGCCGGAUUACUACCGCAUACGAUCCACGGAUGAAUGCGGGGACCUUCGGGCCUCGCGCUAUAGGGUUAGGCGAUGGCUGAUCAGCUAGUUGGUGGGGUAAAGGCCUACCAAGGUGACGAGCAGUAUCUGGUCUGAGACGACGACCAGCCAGAUUGGGACUGAGACACGGCACAGACUCCGACGCUAGGCAGCAGUCGGGAAUUUUGGGCGAUGGGCGAGAGCCUGAUCCAGCAAUGCCGCGUGUGUGAAGAAGGCCUUCGGGUUGGAAAACACUUUUGUCCGUAAAGAAAUCCUUGUCUCUAAUACGGGCGGAGAAUGACGGUACCGGAAGAAGAAGCACCGGCUAACUACGUG
rnacentral:rRNA from 1 species